rnacentral:rRNA from 1 species
GAGUAACGCGUAUGCAACUUCGCCUAUCAGGAGGGGGAGUAACCCGGACGAAAGUACGGACUAAUACCGCAUGAAGCAGGGAGUCCCGCAUGGGAAUAUUUGCUAAAGAUUCAUCGCUGAUAGAUAGGCAUGCGUUCCAUUAGGCAGUUGGCGGGGUAACGGCCCACCAAACCGACGAUGGAUAGGGGUUCUGAGAGGAAGGUCCCCCACAUUGGUACUGAGACACGGACCAA